GGGGGGGUUUAGGAGCUGUAGGAUUUAGGAGGUUGGGGGAAGGGGGCGGGUCUGGGUGAAGACACAGGCAUGUCUGCCCAACUGUGUCUGAGGAAAAAGAGGGCAAUUAAAGCCAUCUACCUCGACCCAACCGCAACCUCAACCCCACUCCACCUUAACGCAGCCCUGACCAAACCCGACAUCGACCGGCCCGAUGCAGUGAAGGGGAUGGGGCCUACACUGGUGCUGGGACGUGUUCGGAGAGCGCCCCCUGCUGUCCACACGGGUACAAAGCACACGUCGUCCAGUCCAUCAGCUCUCACUAGGAAGGACGACCCAAACCCGUGUGUCUGUUAGGGGUGCGAAUCUCGCAGGCGCUGUGUCCCCUGCCCAAGGGCCAGCGUCUCAACACGAACCCUAAAUUCAGGAGUAAAAAUCUGCGUUCGAGGAAGUCGUCAUUGUACUGCAAUUUCACGUGUGCAUUCAGUUAUGUAUAUUUAUGUGUAUAUAUUGUAUAAAUGUGUGCGCGAUAAUACAUAUUUGUGUGUAUGCUUGUGUGUGCUAGGAUGUUGUUGUUUGGAAUAUAAGUCGCUGCCCGUGUGUUUGGUUUCCGUGUCUGCUGCGUUGUGUACAGAACCGGGUCGUUCUGCAGCUACGUCCUGUCAGCUGUCUCUGCCACUAGUUUGUUAGCCUCCGCGAUCACUCAAAAAUGUCUUGAUGUCUUAAAAUCUGCUGAAUCCUGAUUGUUUUUGUUUUCGUGAUAUAUGGCUCUCAUGUUUAAGAGGCAUAAAGGAGCUUUAUUACAAUAAACUGUAGACGCAGACCUAGCUGAAAUUAUACAAGAACAACUGAACACUGCUAUAAUAUCAGGGACUGCUUGGCUAUAACUGACAGAUGUGAAGUCUAAAGCACUUUGAGGAAGCCGGGGUGAGAUACAACUCUAUUUUGAUUUCCGCCUGUUCUCCUGUCGUACUGUGCGGACAGCUGUGCAUGUGAAAUAGUCACUAGCCCUCCUGUAGUACUGUGUGUGGAAUGUAGGAUGUGAAAUAGUCACUGGCUCUUCUGUAGUACUUUGUGUGGACUGCUGUGUGUGUGUAAUAUAGUCGCUAGCCCACCUGUAGUACUGUGCGGUCUGUAAGGUAUAGAAUAGUCAUUGGCUUUGCUGUAGUAAUGUGUUGUCUGUCGGGUGUAAAAUAAAUAAUUUGAGGGCAAAAGCAAGCGCUUGCUUCAGAGCAGACUGAAUUGUACAUUACAUUACAUUAAUGGCAUUUGGCCGAUGCUCUUAUCCAGAGUGACGUACAGUUGAUUAGACUAAGCAGGAGACCAUCCUCCCCUGGAGCAGUGCAGGGUUAAGGGCCUUGCUCAAGGGCCCAACGGCUGUGCGGCUCUUAUUGUGGCCACACCGGGGAUCAAACCACCGACCUUGCGCGUCCCAGUCAUGUACCGUAACCGCUACGCUACAGGCCGCCUUAUCGGAGUUGGCUGAGGCUGACUGAGCCGGAUGUGGUGUUGGACGGUUCCCAGGCUCCCCGCCUGCUUCACAGGGCUAUCUGGGGUCAGACAGACGGCCUCCAGGCCUGCUUCUGCCACCCCAGGUGCUGGGUGGGGUUCUCAUUUAUUGGUGCCGUUAGAAAAUCCUUCUUCUUCUUUUUUUUUUUCGUUUCUGAAGCGCUGCUGCCUCAGGACGUCUGUGGCCUUGUGUUUGCAUAGCUUGUCCCGUGGGGCUUCAAGUCGGCCGUGAUUAAUUAUUAACUUUCCGUGCGCGUUUCUCAGAGCCUCUGCCCUGUUUGUCUUACGUGAUUUUACCCAGGAGGAACUUACUGAUGUUUUACUUGCGCCCUGGGAGUAAGAGAACCAGCAUUGAGCCCCUGGUUUCCCCUCGAUCAUCGAUCGUCGGCUGUUUCUGGCUGUCCCUGUGGACUGUCCCACCCUGCAGGUGUACCCUGUGCUAGGUAUGCUUCACUGAACACCAGCUGUUUAAUUCUGCAUGCUCUAUAAACCCAGUCCAGCAGAGCUGUUGUUACCCCGUCAUAUUUCUCACUGAAAACCACCCCCCAUCCCCCAUCCCGUGAACUCUGACCCCCCUCCUCCUCCCCCCGUGUACAUAGCAGGACACAGGCUCUGUUCUUUUCAGAGAGACGUGUAUGUACAUGUGCACAGUGAUUUACAGAUUACAGCAGGGGUACCUGAGGGAGACACCUUCUACUCUAGAAGGUGGUCAGACUCUCACACAGGCUGGGCUGGGCGAAAACAGUGUUCUAUUGAUUGCACGUGUACUCUGAGACAGUGCUACAGGUGGAUAUAUGGUGAAUGGUAAAUGGUUGGCAUUUAUAUAGCGCCUUUAUCCAAAGCGCUGUACAAUUGAUGCUUUCUCCUUCACCCAUUCAUACACACACUCACACGCCGACAGCGAUUGGCUGCCAUGCAAGGUGUCUUGCUCAGGGACACUUCGACACAGCCCGGGCGGGGGAUCGAACCGGCAACCCUCCGACUGCCAGACAACUGCUCUUACGGCCUGAGCCAUGUCUCCCCCCAUAUAUAUGGGUUAUAUGUUCAACACCUCCACACACAGACCUACAGGUGGAUGUUUGUUCAACACCUCCACACACAGACCUACAGGCAUAACUGUAUGUGUCUGUAUCUGUCUUGGAUUUGUAUCUGCCUUUUUCUGAAGCUUUAGUGUAAGGAGAGUAGUAGUCCUGUAGGUUGGUACAGAGAUGUAUAGAGAGGUAGCAGUAUAAGGUGGUAUUGGUAGAGGGUGGUAUAGAGCGGUAUUCCUAUUAGUGCUAUAGUUGUGUGGGUAUAGAGGUGUAUGGAGUAGUAUUGAUAUAGAGUGGUCGAAGUAUGUUAUGUUGGUAUAGAGUUGUUUAGAUACUGGUAUAGUUAGGUGGUCUUGCUAUGGAGUGGUAUAGUAGUUGUGUUAUAGGGGUUUCUGAUAACUACACAAUGUCGGAUGCAGUAGUUUGUAAAUGCCCAGACCGUGUCUGAUGUUACUGGUGCUGCAGGGAGAAUGUUUGCAGCUCCUGGUCCACGGUGCUUCUCUUGUAUAGCAUUAACAUAUCCUUUAAGAAGGAUUGAGACCUACUCUUUCAUAUUUAUAACACCCAGUGUUGCAUGUGUGCAAGGAUUUUUUGUCAGCCAUUUGCUAUAACUGGCCUUCCCCCCGCCCCCUUCUUCACAUUGGUGCAGCUUGUAUAAAAUACAGGACUUGUGUGCAAAGCUCAUGGCAUUACAGGCACUUAGCGUAUGCGCUUACUCAGACCCACUUGCACAACAUUAGCUUUUUAUUUUUAAAUUUUUAAACAGCGUAGCUCUUUAUGCAGCUUCAUACAGGGCACUGCCUGGGAAUGGAACCUGCCACCUUUAGGCAAGAUGACUCCGCCUGCUCAGGGUCCCAAGCUUCCCAAACAGUUUUAUAGCCUGUGGAUCCAAACCCCCACACCUUCUCCCAACACCCACGUCAGGCUGUGGUGCGGCGUUUCUUCAAACACGCCUCAGAUGAUGUCAUAUGCACAGUGUGCACUUUUCCUCUCUCUGUCCAUCGUUAGAGUGCGCUAGGAAUGCACUCGCCUGGUAACAAGAGAAGUAGAGCAAUGCAUUGUGGGGCACAGGUAAUGUGUCCAGUCUAGCCCAGGAAGUUCCAAGUUCUUUUUGAUACACUAUACGUGUAUAUGUACAUAUUGUGUGCGCGCGCGUGUGUGUGUGUGUGUGUGUGUGUGUGUGUGUGUGUGUGUGUGUGUGUGUGUGUGUGUGUGUGUGUGUGUGUGUGUGUGUGUGUGCGUGCGUGCUAGCGUGUAUCCCUGUUCUCGUGGAGGAGCAGGGCUAACUGAAGCUUUACAGCCAAAAUGCUGUUUUAGAAACUAAAGAAUAAAAAUGCACUCUUCACAUUGAUGAAGUGCAGUCGGCAGUUUGGUCACGCAGGACUGAAGUAGGAAGACUUUAUCUCAGAAGUACUGGAAGGUGUUUUUAAAUGAUGUUCUUCACUAUGACUGUAAGAUUUAGUCUUGUUGUGGUAUUUGCAGUUGCUGUUUGUUAGUUUUUGUUGUUGUUUUCUUUUGAAUACUUAUAAAAGUGUGCGGGUAAAUCCCUGUAUCCUUAAACGGCACGGUGCUUCCAUACACUCUAAACAAGGAGCAGGCAACUAUGCCUGAGGCUUGAGGUUUAAAUCAAGUCUAAAUCAAGAUCUAUUUUAUACCAAGUUUUAUUUUAUUUGAUAUAUAUAUCUUCUAUUUGCAUGUACCCUUGGCACUCCAAAAUUGGUGGAGAUGAUGCCUGUGUCUGGGGGAUGGCGGUCUCCAUGGCAACUGUCUCCAUGGCUGCCACUGCCCCUCAGUCUUCCCUGAGUUUGGGGCAGGAGGUCUCACCCUGUUGCUCAGGGACAGUCUUGUAAAAUCAAUGAUGAAAAGCCUCUGAUCUCUCACUUUAUUUGCCGAUUCCGCAUCCGAUUUAAAGAGCGCAGUAAUUUUAGACUUUGUAAAUACAUCCAAUAAAGCAGUUUCCUUUUGCCUCUGUUCGUGUUGUAAAUAUUAGCACUAGAUUUGGAUUGCCUUUGACAAAUAGGACAUUGUGUCUUUCCUGGGCAGUUCUGAGACAUCUCGAGUCGCGGUGUCGGGCGGGAAUUCCUUGUUGCGUCUCUGCAGGACUCGUUCCUGGAUAAUAUUUUUAUAUUUGUUCUAAAUGGGCUGAAUCACACUGUGUCCGUUUGUGUCCGUUUGCAUGAACUGUCCGCAGUUUUGUCUUCCUGCAAUGACAGCGGUCGCUCUUCAGGUCCUAAAGGGGUUUUUUGGUGGAUGUUAACAACGGUGCUUUAAUGGGGCUUCCUCUUCAUCAUGAUUCUCAAAUAGAAGCUCACUAUUGCACAAUUAUUCCUGCACUUGUCUUGAAAAGACACAUUGACACUUCCCUUCCUGACCCAUGCAUAGACACACGCAGACCCGUGCACACGCACACACACACACACACAAACACACACUCCAUUUCUUGUAGUACACACCCUGUCGUCCCUGUUUUUGUGUUAUGUAUAACGUACACACUGUGGACUGAAGUUGCAUGUUUUUUUGUUAUUUUUUCUCUAAUAAUGACGGUUGAGGUGAAGUAUCAACCAGUAGUACUGCUGCCUUUCACUCCUCCCCACCAAUCAGGGACUGAUUUAAACCUGACGCAUCAGGUGACUAACAUCUGGCCAGUGACAUUAUUGGACACCAAACUAACAAACGGAAGAGAAAACAAGGGGCACGUUCAAUCGGAAAACAUUUUGCUACGGUUUGCGUGUUGAACGAUGUGUUUUCUCCCAACAGUGUGCAACGUUUUACAACAGGCUUUGACCUGUGUUUGCUCCCGUCUGGGUGUGUCAGGGUGCAGUCAGAAUCAAUGACGCAUGCGAAAUGCUUGAAAGCCCAGAGAACGCCUUCUCAGGCACCAUAGGAGCAAACCGUACUACAGUCAGUCAGUCCACAGCACGGUGUUCAACGCGCCAUUGCGUUUAAAUAAAAACGAUUCGCUACAUUUUGUAGGGGCUGAACGUGACCCAGCAGUACUACUGACCUUGCUGGCCAGACGUGAAUAUCCCUGGCCUGUUUUUUUUUUUUUUAACGCUGUUGGCGGCGAUGUACUGUUCAUUCACCGGUGCUCUCUCUGGCGAUGCAAACAAAGCCAUGCAAUUGGUUUAUGAUGCUUUUGGGGAUUUUCACCCUUUCAUGUAAUUGCUAAUAAAAUGUUUCCUUCAAAGUA